rnacentral:rRNA from 1 species
UACGUAGGUGGCAAGCGUUGUCCGGAUUUACUGGGCGUAAAGAGCGCGCAGGCGGUCGUUCAAGUCGCGUGUGAAAGCCCCCGGCUCAACUGGGGAGGGUCACGCGAUACUGAUCGACUGGAAGGCAGGAGAGGGUAGUGGAAUUCCCGGUGUAGUGGUGAAAUGCGUAGAUAUCGGGAGGAACACCAGUGGCGAAGGCGACUACCUGGCCUGUUCUUGACGCUGAGGCGCGGAAGCUAGGGGAGCAAACGGG